ACUCCUACGGGAGGCAGCAGUGGGGAAUAUUGCACAAUGGGCGCAAGCCUGAUGCAGCAACGCCGCGUGAGCGAUGAAGGCCUUCGGGUCGUAAAGCUCUGUCCUCAAGGAAGAAUAAAUGACGGUACUUGAGGAGGAAGCCCGGGCUAACUACGUGCCAGCAGCCGCGGUAAUACGUAGGGGGCAAGCGUUAUCCGGAAUCACUGGGGCGUAAAGGGGUGCGUAGGCGGUUUUUCAAGUCAGAAGUGAAAGGCUAUGGCUCAACCAUAGUAAGCUUUUGAAACUGUUAAACUUGAGUGCAGGAGAGGAAAGUGGAAUUCCUAGUGUAGAGGUGAAAUUCGUAGAUAUUAGGAGGAACACCAGUGGCGAAGGCGACUUUCUGGACUGUAACUGACGCUGAGGCACGAAAGCGUGGGGAGCGAACAGGAUUAGAUACCCUGGUAGCACAGAG
rnacentral:rRNA from 1 species